rnacentral:rRNA from 1 species
CAGCCGCCGCGGUAAUACGUAGGGUGCAAGCGUUAAUCGGAAUUACUGGGCGUAAAGCGUGCGCAGGCGGUUCGUUAAGACAGAUGUGAAAUCCCCGGGCUUAACCUGGGAACUGCGCUUGUGACUGCACAGCUAGAGUAUGGUAGAGGGGGGUGGAAUUCCACGUGUAGCAGUGAAAUGCGUAGAGAUGUGGAGGAACACCGAUGGCGAAGGCAGCCCCCUGGGCCAAUACUGACGCUCAUGCACGAAAGCGUGGGGAGCAAACAGGAUUAGAUACCCCGGUAGUCCCUGUCUCUUAUAC